rnacentral:rRNA from 1 species
UUAGUGGCGGACGGGUGAGUAACGCGUGAGAAUCUGGCUUUAGGUUCGGGACAACCACUGGAAACGGUGGCUAAUACCGGAUGUGCCGAAAGGUAAAAGGUUAACCGCCUGAAGAUGAGCUCGCGUCUGAUUAGCUAGUUGGUGUGGUAAGAGCGCACCAAGGCGACGAUCAGUAGCUGGUCUGAGAGGAUGAUCAGCCACACUGGGACUGAGACACGGCCCAG